AUUAAAAAUGGAAAUGAUUGAUGAUAUUUAUCUCUGUGGACCUGGACUCUGCUCAGUUGGAUUUCAUGAGCUCUGUUUGUGAACUAGAAUGUACAGUACGGACAGAGUUUAAUUGUGUUCUAAGAGCCGUGACAAAGGACAAUGGAAAUACCUGAGAUUGAUUCUCACUUGUGUAAUGUUCUCAUUAGCGCUCUGAUGGCAUGUGUAUUAUAUGACAGAAUAAAUUGCUAUUCUUUGCCAUGUUAGGGCUCUUAAUAUUCUACUCCUGUCUUUCCUGGAUCAAUGUCUCAGUCCCUUAACCGGGGAUCUCAUUACAUUCUCAACAAAUCCAUGAAAUCAUAGGUGGCCUCUAUUGCAUGAGCUUUCUUCAUUAAUGCAGAGGCACUUUAUAUAGCAAGUAUUAAUAUGGAAAUGACACAGUUCACUGGAGAGGGCCUAUAGAAAAUGAGGGAACAAUAAUAACUC